AUUACCAGUAGCUUCCCAGCCAUGCUCAGCAUCUCCCUUUCUCCUAGGAAAAGGGUGCAAUUAGGUUGGCAGGAUGCCUGUCCUUGCUGUGGGUGCUUGAACUGCACUGAAGGAGCCAGACUGUUCUCCUUCAGGGAAGGCUGCAAAAUCUCCAAAGGAUUUUGAAGCAUGAAAUGACCUGUAUGUGGUUGGAGAGCAGGAUGAAGCUUUUUAAGGUAAUUUAGGAAGUUUUCCUCCCACCCUGUCCCAUCCACCUCGGACGCCUGCACCCUUCCUUCAGACUUUUUCCAGAGGUACCCCAGACAUUCCUGCAGGAUGAUGGAGAGAACACCUGCCACAGCCUUCUGGCAAAGGGUUUUAAUCUUCUCUUGGGCUCUGGCCUAAAGAAAUCAGUUUGCUCUCACAUGUUGUAAGGAAAGAGGGAAAAUA